GAACGCAUAUUGCGCCCGCCAGCACUCUGGCAGGCAUGCCUGUUCGAGCGUCAUUUCAACACUCAGGUCUUAGUCGCCUGGCGUUGGGGCGCUGCGGCACGGCCCGCAGGCCCCCAAAUAUAGCGGCGGACCCGCCGCGGCCCUGAGCGCAGUAGUUGACAAAGCCUCGCUCCGGCGGCCGCGGCGCGGCCCUGCCCCCGCCCAACAGCGCGAAACGCGCGAGCAAAGUUGACCUCGGAUCAGGUAGGACUACCCGCUGAACUUAAG
rnacentral:misc_RNA from 1 species